AACUUCUGUCUCCCAUCCAGUUGCUGCAACCGAGACCUGAAGCUGUUGGGACUAGUUAAUGAUUAUUUCUUUGGCAUUGUUGGACAUUGUUCGGAAUUGCCGGCAUGGUGCGAUUUUCAAAUAUAAAAUGAUCGAGUGUAGAUCAAGUUGUGGGCUUUUUCAUUGGAUCUGUAGACGUGGUAAGUUAUGGUUUUUGAUAAACCCCGAAUUGCAAGCGUUAGCACUACAUAUAAGGAAACACUAGGUUAUACUUACCACAUUGCACAAAAAAGCUGAAGAAUUGUAAAUAGUACUGAGCAUGAAAAUGAAUAGUGCAUAACUGCUAUUUUGCCGCAGGUAGUUGUCAGGAAAGUGGCAAUCUGUGUAGCAGGUGCGCCGACAUUAUAUUUAUUUAUUUUAUUAUAGGUCAGUUCUGAUUAAUGCUUACUGAUAAAUGUUUCUCAUCAACAGGGGGUCUCCUUUAAAAGGCGCAUGCUAGUGUCGUGUGUGAACACAUUCCAAGCUGCACAUCUGCAGUGCCUGUCUUACAGCGUGCCGUGGUCACUGUCUAGAGGGAUUCGGUUCUCUCUCCCAGAUCCCGGACAAGCACGUGCCUGUUCGCUGGUCACUGAAAUCUACGUGUUCAGCGGAGCUUUCGUCUGGCUUGUUAUUCCACAGGACAGAUCACCACAUCAUGACCUGACCAGUGUUCUCCAUGAACAGACAAAGAGAGAAGGUACUUGGUGAACAUGACUAUUCCAAGUCCAGUUUUGCCAUGACCUGCCUGUUGCUGAAGCCGGUGCAGAAAGUGUUGAGCAGCCCACCCCUGAAGCUUGAUUCACCACGAAGAGAAGCAAAGUGUUUCCCAAGACCUUUUAAGCCAGACCGUGUCAAAGACUCAAGGAGCCUUGUUGCCAGGGGGAACACACCGGAGUCUGUCUUUGGUGCUUUAAUAAACAAAAGUGCUUCACUUCCUUAUGGUGUUAUGGAUGUCUUAUUUCAAUUGCCGCUUCUCUGCUUUGUUCCAGGUCUGCCCUCUGGUGGUAGUGGGGUGGGGCUAGGUAUGGCUCCUCCCCAAACAGGGAGAUAGCCAAAAUUUGGGCCCGUUCCUGGGGGAAACAGGUGGGGAGUAGCUAGGAGGGCAGAGGG
rnacentral:lncRNA from 1 species